AGGGAGGGGCCAAACUGAGCCGUCGCUGACAAGCAACGAGAUCAAGCGCUGGUUGGGGGUACCUCGUGGUAAUGGCGGGCGCGGGGAAUGCGAUUUCUUGCGGCGGAGAGGCGCUGGAUGCCGGAUGCCGAUGGGCUGGAGUUCCUGCUGGAUCCAGUUCACCGGUUCCCACUCAGGGAGGAGUUCGCAGACAGCUUGGAGCUGCCAAAUCCGGUGCUUCUGGUACUGCUCCGCUGCAUCGCCGCCGACGCCGUUGCCACCGCCCCCACGCCGUCGGCCCCGAUGACACUGCCCAUCGCCGUUGACCCCGAGCCACCGCUGCUCUCUUAAACUCAGUCUCGCCGGUGCUCCACUCUGCCUUGCUCCCCUCUACCGGACAUCUGCUCACCAGUGUCGUCUUUCUCGGCGGCAUUCUCGUUCUCCAUCACCAACAACUCCAUGGCCCCUUGGUUCUGCACGAGAUCUCUAGUCCAGCAGCCUCCACCAGACACCAGGGGUAACUAAUCCACUUCCCUAAUCUUCUUUUCCAUGGAUUCAUGACCCCGAGUGUUGAUGCUUGUUGUGAAAUUUCCAAGUAUACAGUACGUGAGUAGGCAGUAGCUGAUGUUGGUUCAGUCCAAAAUCAUACAGGUAGAUUUAGACAGGUUUGUGUAACAUGACAUCUGGACAUCAAUCAUACUUGGUUCUUUGUCACUGUCGUGUAGUAUUAGAUUAGGACAAGUUUCUUGAUUGCCACACAACGUUAUUGGAUAAAACACUAUGUCCAUCUAGGAUGAGUCCAUUUGAGCAGUCAAUCCGCAAGUACGCAGAGGAUCCUACGAAAAGCGUGGUGUGCCCAGAACUAAGACUCAUUUUUGACUCUCUCGGUGGGGCGUAUGACUUCUACAACCUGUAUUUUUGGGAAUUGACUUUGGGAUAUGGUAUGUCAAGAGCAGACUGAACGUCAAGAAUACGAAAUCAAUGCAGGAGAACGCUUGCGGUUGCUCGGGCAAGCCGGAGGCCAAGAAUAGCCAUUAGUUGUGUCUAACAAUUCUGUGUGCACGGGUGAUGGAUGUGCUGCACCUGGAAGAAGACAAGAAGUGGACGAAAAGACGCAAGGGACAUUCUGCCUGGACACCUUGUGCAGUACGAGAAAGACCAAGCGGUUAAUAAGUCUUUUACGAGCAGGCAUUCGACUCUGUACGGAAGAAGACAUGAAUGUUGUUUGGAUGGGGGAAGCCAGUGCGGAAGCAUUUUGGAGCAUAUGGUGGCUGGACUGAAGGCAUUGCUGGUGAGCGGUGCACCAUUUGCAGAGAAGAGGGAUGGCUUGGGCACUUGCCCUGACCGGGGCGGAUGCUCUGAAGAAACGGCGAAGGCCGGGGAAAUGCAUGAACUAUGGAAUGGAAGGGCGCCACCUGGACACGUGCACUUGGCUGCUUGGUGAUGAUCACUAAUCAUAAUUAAAUGUGAUAACUAGUUUUUUUUAAUAUGUGUGUUGUAGUCUGAGGAUUUUUCUGGUGUGUUUCAAUGAGCAUUGCCCCACGCUUGUUCCUCCA